GAUCAACGCUGGCGGCGUGCCUAAUGCAUGCAAGUCGAACGGGGCGCCUUCGGGCGCUCACGUGGCGGACGGGUGCGUAGCACGUGGGCAAUCUGCCCCGGGGCGGGGGAUAGCCAUCGGAAACGGUGGGUCAUUCCGCGUACGCUCGCCUGGCAGUGGGCCGGGCGAGGAAACGCGCAAGCCACCCUGGGAGGGGCCUGCGGCCGAUUAGCUGGUUGGUGGGGGAACGGCCUCCCAAGGGGAUGACCGGUAGCUGGUCGGAGAGGACGGCCAGCCACACGGGGACUGAGAGACGGCCCCGACUCCUACGGGAGGCAGCAGCAAGGAAUCUUCCGCAAUGGGCGAAAGCCUGACUGAGCAACGCCGCGUGAGGGAUGACGGCCUUCGGGUUGUAAACCUCUUUCAGCACCGACGAAGCGCAAGUGACGGUAGGUGCAGAGGAAGGACCGGCCAACUACGUGCCAGCAGCCGCCGUAA
rnacentral:rRNA from 1 species